rnacentral:rRNA from 1 species
AGUGAACGCUGGCGGUAGGCCUAACACAUGCAAGUCGAACGGCAGCACAGUAAGAGCUUGCUCUUACGGGUGGCGAGUGGCGGACGGGUGAGGAAUACAUCGGAAUCUACUUUUUCGUGGGGGAUAACGUAGGGAAACUUACGCUAAUACCGCAUACGACCUACGGGUGAAAGCAGGGGAUCUUCGGACCUUGCGCGAUUGAAUGAGCCGAUGUCGGAUUAGCUAGUUGGCGGGGUAAAGGCCCACCAAGGCGACGAUCCGUAGCUGGUCUGAGAGGAUGAUCAGCCACACUGGAACUGAGACACGGUCCAGACUCCUACGAGAGGCAGCAGUGGGGAAUAUUGGACAAUGGGCGCAAGCCUGAUCCAGCCAUACCGCGUGUGUGAAGAAGGCCUUCGGGUUGUAAAGCCCUUUUGUUGGGAAAGAAAAGCAGCAGGUUAAUACCCCGCUGUUCUGACGGUACCCAAAGAAUAAGCACCGGCUAACUUCGUG